ACUAGGACAUUGCGAUCAGGCCCCUUGGUUACUUCCCCAGUUUGCUCGUGUGGUGCCCUCCGUCAGUGGAGACAAGCUUUCCACGAGGAACCAAGAUUUCCACCCUGUGAGCUCUGAGAGGACAGCUGGCCAUCCUCGGGACAGAUGCUUCAAGGAGCCACCAAUCAAGGCUCCAUUUCCUGAACUUUCCUAGGAAGUUGAGCCCUGAGUAGCUGUUCUUGGUAAUAAUAAUAA
rnacentral:lncRNA from 12 species